rnacentral:rRNA from 1 species
UGGGGAAUAUUGCGCAAUGGGGGGAACCCUGACGCAGCCAUGCCGCGUGAAUGAAGAAGGCCUUAGGGUUGUAAAGUUCUCUCGGUAUUGAGGAAGGUUGAUGUGUUAAUAGCACAUCAAAUUGACGUUAAAUACAGAAGAAGCACCGGCUAACUCCGUGCCAGCAGCCGCGGUAAUACGGAGGGUGCGAGCGUUAAUCGGAAUAACUGGGCGUAAAGGGCACGCAGGCGGUUAUUUAAGUGAGGUGUGAAAGCCCCGGGCUUAACCUGGGAAUUGCAUUUCAGACUGGGUAACUAGAGUACUUUAGGGAGGGGUAGAAUUCCACGUGUAGCGGUGAAAUGCGUAGAGAUGUGGAGGAAUACCGAAGGCGAAGGCAGCCCCUUGGGAAUGUACUGACGCUCAUGUGCGAAAGCGUGGGGAGCAAACAGGAUUAGAUACCCUGGUAGUCCACGCUGUAAACGCUGUCGAUUUGGGGGUUGGGGUUUAACUCUGGCGCCCGUAGCUAACGUGAUAAAUCGACCGCCUGGGGAGUACGGCCGCAAGGUUA